GAAUUAUAAUUAAUUAGAUAAAACUUAAUUGACUGUUACAAUAUUAAUUAUAGUUCAAUUAAUAUUAAUUUCAAUUUUUUUUGGAAAAUCAAGCUAAUUAAAUGUCUAAUUAACUAUUCGGUGCGGGAGGGGCCAGUGCUGGACAAGCAGGUGCCGGUGCUGGACGUACUGGUGCUGGUGCAGGAUGAACCGGGAGAUAAAACCGGAAAGCAUCUUGGGGAUUGAGUGGUAGAGCCCUCUUACGAGGUAAUUGCUUCACUCUACGUGACAUUUUUUAAAAUCUAAAAAAAAAAUUAUUUAAUAAUUAUUAAACAAAUAAUUAAACAAUCAUGAAUUUAAUAAUUACAAAUAAUUAAUUUACACAUUUUUAAUUUCAUACAAAUUAAUCAUUAUUAUUUCAAUUGAUAAUUUAACAAUUUAAUAAUUACUAAUCAUUUAACAAAUCAUUUGCAAAUAUUUCAUUAUUAACAAAUUAAUAUUUAAUAAUUGUUAAUCAAUUAAUAAUAUACUAAUUAAUCAUUAAAUUUAAUAAUUACUAAUAUAUUAACAAUUUUAUAAUUUCAUGCAAAUUAAUUAAAUUCUAUUAAGAUUAAUUAAAUAAUUUUAAAAUAAAAUAAUAAAAUAAUAUUUCAUUAUUAACAAAUUAUUUCAUUUCAUGCAAAUUAAUUAAUAUUAAAAAUUGUAAAUUAAUUAAUUAAUAUUCAAUUUAAUAAUUCAUUUAUUAAUUUCAUGCAAAUUAAUUAAAUCAUUCAAUUGAGAAUUAAUUUACAUUGUUAAUUAUAAUUUCAUAUUAUUAAAAAUAAAUUAAAUAAAUAAAGAAUUAGAAUUAGAAUUUUUACCAAUCAAUUAAAUAAGCUUACUUCAAUCAGAAUUUUAUGAAUUCUCGAUUUCUCAAAACCUAAAAAAAAUCAACAAACACAAUAAUUAAUUAACAAAUUGUUUAAAUUAUUUAAAAAUAGUAAAUACGAUAAUUAAUUAUUUAAAAACAUUAUAUUAAUUAAUUAACUAUUACAAAAAUUAAAUUAUUUAAAAACAGUAUAUUAAUUAAUUAUUUAAUUAUUUAAAAACAGUAUAUUAAUUAACUAUUUAUAACAUUUUUUAAUUAUUUAAAAACAUUAAAUUAUUUAAUUAUUUAAAAACAGUAUAUUAAUUAAUUUAAUAACUAAUUAUUUAAAUUUUAAAGUAUUAAGAAAUGAAAAUAUUAUUUUAUUCAUUAUUUCAUAAUAUAUUGAUAACUAAUUAUAAAAUUAAUUAUUUCAUAGUAUUAAGAUAUACAACUAAUUUCAUAUUAUUGACAGCAACUAAUUUCAUACAAAAACAUCAACUACAAUUACAAUCUAACAAUUUCAUACACAAAUAUACGAUUUAAUAUACCAAUAUACUACAAAAACAAAAACUACAAUGUCAUACACCAAUACACUAUAUACAAAAACAGCAACCAAUAUACACCCUAAUUAACUGCAACCAAUAUAAACCAAGAACAACAUAUAAACAACAACAUAAACACCAAUAUAAACACCCAAUAUAAACACCCAAUAUAAACCAUAUAAACAUAUAAAACCAUUCCAGUAAACAUAUAAACAACAUAUCAAAUAAUCAAACCCAUCGUCUCCUUUUUAAAUGAUUAUGUAUACAUAUAAAUAACAUAUAAACCUAUUUAUUUAAAUGAUUAAUAAUAUCAAAUACAGAUUAAUAAUCAAACCCAUCUACUUCAUUUUAUUUCUUCACAUAGAUAAACAUUUCAUUGAAAUCAAAAAUCAAAAAUCACAAAAAUCACCAAAAUCACAAAAAUUAACAAAAACUAACAAAAACUCACGAAAACGGACAGGUGACUAGACCACAGCAGGGACGGACAAGUCGUCUACCAGAGACGAGAGCAAGCAAGCGGUCGACGGCGAGAAUAGAGACAGGGACGGACGCAACGGAGAGCAGCGGCGGUGGGGAUCAGCGGCGGCAGUGGAGAAAUAAGAACAGACAACGUGUCUGUUCUGAUUUGUGGUUUUUAAUAAACCCCAAAACUUACAUGGCGGAUUUCCGCCAUGUAAGUACACUUAAGUGCCGCCAGUACUAAAGUGAAAGUCCGCCCAAUCAAAAUUUGGACGGGCUUUUUCCGCCCGAGUCCCCGAAUAAUUAACAUGGCGGAUGUCCGCCAUGUUAAGUCAAUUUAAUCGGGUAAUCGGGCUGAAUAUUUGGGGGAAAUCGAAAUUUUGGGGGGAUAGUUUAGAUGACGGAUUUCCCCCAUCUAAAACUGCCAUCGAAAAAAAAUUGAACCGCGUCGAGCCAAAUCCUUUCCUCGACGGACUGAAAGAAUAGAUGGCGGACAUCCGCCAUCUAAACAACUGGAUUAUUGAUGGCGGAAAUCCGUCAUCUAAAGACCGCCAUACAAGGUCCUUUUUUUGUAGUAAUAGCUGAUGGGGUGUGGGCUCACACACACAACUCUCUACUAUUACUCUUGCUAAUGAUCGAUCCCCUUCCCUGUUGAAUCAGGGGAGGUAUUUAUAGCCUAAACCCUUGGGCUUACUGGGCCUUGAUGUACUCCCCCACGGCCCGGGGGGAGAAGGCCGCCCACCUAACUUCUUUUAUGACGCAUCGUAGUUCGCGUCCUUUUGGCAAGUUUUCUCCAUAAAUAUCCGACUCUGUGUGCCCUCCCUCUCUCAUUCUUUUUGGAAUCAGAGACGAUGAGCACUCAAGACCUUCUAGAGAAGUUCGGCCGCGAGGUGAAGCUUCAACACUCUGCUUGGAUUGAGUGCCUGCUGCUGCCCGCUGAUGCUUUCCACUCUGUCAUCGUGUCGGAGAGUCAGCGGUUGAACUCUGUCCUGAUUGACAUUCACCGUCGUCUCGCCCAGCUUCGCCUAGCCGACGCACCCUCCUCCUCUGGCGCGUCGGUCGCUUCUGUUGCAGCUGCUGUGACCUCAAGCUUCUGCUGCUCUUUACACGGCGUGACUGCUGUUGCUCCUAUUGUUGGUGGUGGACGCCGUCGGCGCUCCCGCGGUCGUCGUGGUUCACGUGGGUCCUCGUCUCUUCCUGCUACUGAUUUGCACCACCUUUUGUCGAUGUCGCCUAAGUCGGGCCACUAGGCCUGCGUUUGCGCAGGAUGCGGGGGGUGCUUUUGGUCGGUCCCCAUCGGACAUGGGCCCGUUGGCCCCCGUAGGUGAUGAGGAUACUUCCUCUUCUUCCUCUUUGGUUGUCGCCUGGAGGGAGGUCGUGUGGUUCCCCCGCCUUGCUCCCGCUAUUUUUUCUUUAGUGCACAUUUAGCUUCCUCUCACUAUUUUGUAACCUAGGACAUCUUUCUUGUGGCUUUUGCUUUAAUUUUGUAACGCUUUUGCUCGGUAUCACGAGUGGUCCGGGUGUUCAUCGGACGUGACACCGGGGUUGCGACGCUCGUGUCGUGUUUCGUCGUAUGCCUUGUUUUCGGACGUGUUGGGUUCCCGACCCGGUCAUGCCUUAUUGGGUCGCCCUUCUGGGCUCCUAGCCUCUGUGGUAGCCAGGUACUCGCAGCUCUUCAUCUUCUGCGCCUCUCUUACUAUAAAUGCUACUGGUCCCUUCACCUCUAUUUACUUCCUUGUUCGCUCCUUGCUUCCCUCUACUUCUUACUAAAAAAACCUUGGUGAUCUCCUCACAGGCAUGUCAUGUCUCCUCCAGUUGAUCCCUCUAGUGCCAACGUCGACUACCUCAUUCACGACGCUUUCAUUCUAUUACCGGACUCUAAAAACCCGCUUUCACAAGCUUUAGCGUCUGCUUUCAUGGCGGCCCUAGGAGAGAUGUACCUCUACAAGGAGCACACAGACUUCCGGUUGCCUAGGGGCAGUAUCGCUUCACAUCCACCUCCCGGGCACGUCGCCGUCUACAUUCCCUACGUGGGCACUGGCCUUACUCUGCCCCUUUCGCCGUUGUUCCAGGCGAUCCUCAACCACUGCCAAGUGUCACUCUCGCAGUUCCCCCCGGGAGCCGUUGAGCGCAUUCUGAACUUUGAGAUUCUCUGCAAGGAAUGCGGCAUUGAGCCUACUGUGCCUCUGUUCUUCAAUUGGUUCCAUGUUUACCCUAUGAACACUGUCCGGAAUCGUGUCCUCGUUGCCUCCCGACGACUCUUUUUGAGACCCUGCCUGAGUGUGCUCAUUCGUGGCGUGACCAGUUUUCUUCGCGGAGUUGUCCUACCUCGGGGCUCUUGUCGGGCGUCCCCCUAGGUGGCCGCCGUUGGAUACCUUGAAGAGUCUCACCGGCCUUGUUCCUAUUAAGCAUUUGAUUUCCGCCGAGCGGGUGGCGCAAGACCUGCUCCUUCAGAUUCAUAACCAUGGACCUGUGAGCCCCAGUGAUCUUGGGCACGGUUGGUCUGUUGAGGAGCACCUGAGGCCCGACGUCACCCGUAGCUGUGACGGUGGGGAUCUUUCUCCUCCUCGGAAGAAAAAUCGCAAGGCGUCCUCUGUUGUCCACCUGGAAGACACUCCCUCUCGAGGUCCGAGCACCGGUAGCUCCGGAGGCGACAACAUGAGCGAGGCUCCUCUUCGUAAUNNNNNNNNNNNNNNNNNNNNNNNNNNNNNNNNNNNNNNNNNNNNNNNNNNNNNNNNNNNNNNNNNNNNNNNNNNNNNNNNNNNNNNNNNNNNNNNNNNNNAGGAUCUGAGGUCCCUCGGAAGAUCGAGGAGGAGGACGCGAAGAUGCUGGAGCACCAGGAAUUUGGUGUGACCUUAGAUUCUGCUUUCCUUGCAGGCAAGUUUCCCGCCGACCCCGCGCACGUUCACCCUUCGGCUUCCGUUCCCCAGAUGGAAGGGAUGCUCCUGAAGGGCUUCAACCUUCUUCACUCGUUCCUUCAGGCAUCAGCGCGUGAUGCAACGGUGCUCGAUGCGGAUCUUUACGUCGACAGUCUACGCGGUGCUUCUCUCGCCUACAUGCGCCACCAGUGGGGCCUUGACCAGAAAGAGGAGUUGCACCAACUUACUGCACAGGUCGCCCGUCUAACCGAGGAUCGUUCUGCUGCGUUGGUUGUCCGUGACCAAGCUGUGACGGAGGCGACAAAAGACGCGGAGGGGCACCGGGUUCAGCUAGAAAAAGCGUCCAGUGAGAAAGUCGCGCUGGAGCAGUGUCUCGCCAAAGCUCAGAAGCUGGCCGAAUACUACAAGUCCCAAUAAGAAUGGGCAGAGGCCCAGGAUGGACUCGCUCGGGAGACCGAACGCGCCAACAAACUGUCCGUCGAUCGCGCCGAGCUGCUUUCUCCCGUGUCUGCUAAGUUCCAAGCCAAGUUUGCUGAGUUCCAGACCGAGUCUUCACGCCAGAUGACGGUUGAGAAACGCACCGGGUUUUGGAAAGGCUAUGAGCACCAUCGCGCUAUGUGCAAGCUCACCUGUCCCGCCCUUGCUGCCACCGUCAUCCCCCGGACCUUGUUGGAGUGGGAGCGUUGAAACGCGGUGGGCGGUGCCAGGCCUCCUGCUGUGCAACCUCCAUUUUAUGUCAGUGAAAGCGAGGAGGAGGACUUGGAGGCUGAUCUUCCAAACUAUAUUUCGCCGACUCCCCCGUCGUGACUGCCGCACUCUUUUUUUUAAUGUUCCCUUUCCUCUUUUUUUUUUCUUUUUCUUUUUUGGGCUUGUAAAAUGAACAACAUAUUCCGUUUUUUGUAUAUUGCUUCCGCGUUUUUAUGUUAUAGGGGGGGGUUGUGUCACGCGGCCUCCCGGGCGUCUUGCAGAGCCGUGUUCUUACUUUUUCUUGCUUAGUAUUCGUGUUAGGUUAUGAUUCCGGGCCGAAUAUCGUCGUAUCCUUGAUUUCUUCAUGCUAAGAUAGAAAAUUGAAAAAGAUACAAGGUCGGUAUCGGCUAUUUUCUUGCUUGUGCCGGCGCCCUCAGCCCCUAGCACUUGUAUUUUUCGAGGUUGUCUGUGCGUGCCAGGUUUUUUCUAUGGCCUGCCCGUCCUCAUAGCCUAGGCGAAAAAUGUCGGGCAGGACCUCGUCCAUGAUCACGUACGGGCUCUCCUAUCUUGACGAUAGCUUCCCUUUCGUUUGGUCCACGCCUGUUACUUUAGCGUUUCUCAAGACUAGGUCGCUCGAUGCUAGAUUCUUCUCUGCCACUCUUUCAUUGACCCCUGGCUGAAAUUGUUCUAUCCUGGCCGUCGACCAUACCAAUUCUGUGGGGGCCACGACCUCUAUUCUUAAGGCGAGGGCGAACGACGUUUGCCCCGUUCGCGUCCGAAUUGUUGUUCGGUAGGCCCACAUGGUCUUCGGGAUUUUAUCCGCCCACGACCCCGGGUAUUCGCCCCCUUUCUCUUUAGGAUGGACACGAUAGUGCAGUUAGUCACCUCCACUUGUCCGUUCGCCUGCGGGUGGUAGACCGGGGCGAAGUUCAGCUUGAUUCCGCUGUCCUCACAGAAUUCCCUUAGCUUCUUUCCCGUGAACUGUGUCCCGUUGUCCGUUAUUAUUUGGAUCAGCACCCCGAAUCGGUAGACGAUGCUCCUGAAAACGAAAUUUACCACGUUCUGGAUCGUGAUUGCACUAGUGGGUCCGCCCACUUUGUGAAGUAGUCUACUGCCACGAAAAGGAACUUUCUUCUCCGUGAAGCUGGGGGGAAUGGACCCACACUGUCGAUACUCCACCGUGCAAAGGGGACGGGCGUUGUCACUGCCUUCAUCAUGGUGGGCGGUCGCCUCUGGACGUUUGAGUGUCGCUGGCAUUCGUCGCACCUUCCCACUAUCCCCUCGGAGUCUCUUAUUGAUUCAGGCCAAUAGUACGAUACAGAUAUGGGAGACCAACCUCUGGAGGCAGAUAGCCUAGCUUCUAUACUAGGCAAUAUGGUUGUGUGGAAAAUGUCAAAAUGAGACUUGCUCUCAUUUCCAUAUUUAUAUCUAUAUUUUAUAUUUAAUUGUUAGUUCUCAUUUUAUAAAUGAAAAAUUUAACUGCUUCAAAAAAAAAUACAAUAUCAAUAACAUAUACGUACAAUAUCAAUAACACAUACAACACUUAAAUUUAAUAAUUACAAACCUUCAAAACACUGGCCGGGAGUUCGGAGAUCAAAGAAGAAAGAAGAAAAAGAAAGAAGAAAAACGAUUCAUAUACAUCGAAGAAGAAGAACAGUUCGGCGGG
rnacentral:lncRNA from 1 species